UACAAUCUAUCUUCAGCCCACUCAUAUCUUCAACCCUGAGCUGUCUACAGACUUUUCUUCCUUCAGUUCGCUCAAAUGCCAAAUCAUUGAUACUCACCUACAACGUCACUAAGAAUUAAAAGACCUAAGAUGAGCAACAACAGCCGCAGGGAUUCACAGAAGAAUGAUCAGGACAGAAAAACCGUAAGCAUUUUUCACUGCCGAGACAUUUUACUGCACGGUACUACACACUGAAUCAAGGCUAGACUGAAUGUAGGCAUCUACUAAACUAGACACAAUACACAACGUGAAGAGGUUAUCCAUUAGACGUGGCGUUGUACAUACACUACCGUAUGUAGUGGAACAUGAAAUGCCACUCAUAGUAGUAGUGGAACCAGUAACAAUUCUUUGAACAGCAUAUUUCGAUUUACACUAUGACCCUAAUCAACAAUCUACAAGGUGAUACGUCAGACAGGUGCUGUCCAGUAGAGUCUGAUACACAAUAUACAAGGUGAUACAUCAGACAGGUGUUGUCCAGUAGAGUCUGAUACACAAUCUAACAGGUGAUACAUCCGACAGGUGUUGUCCAGUAGAGUCUGAUACACAAUCUACAAGGUGAUACAUCAGACAGCUGUUGUCCAGUAGAGUCUGAUAC